UCUCAUGCCCUUCUCACACCUGUCACAAUGGGCUUGGAAAGGUGUGUCUCUCAUCACUGCCUGACUGGUCUCUGCUUCCUGUUCUGGUCACUGUACCCACUUCCUCUCCAGGGACCAAUUCCUCCCUCAUGCUCCACCCAUGGUUGGGGGUGGCACUGGCCUCACACCCUGGCUUCGGGUGGCAAGUGUCCCAGGCCUGGCCAAUCAGAGUAUUCCACUCGUGACCCCUGGCCAUGCCAAUAGCUAAUGCAUGAGCUGGAAAGUAAAUCCUGUUGAGAAAAAGAAAACUUGGGACGGACUGCCAGGCAGAGGCAUGACAUGAGCCUCUUGCUGCCAACAGUCAUCAUGUGGAGAGGGUCUGCCAGAGAGAGAGGAAGAUAAAUGGAAAACAAACUGUGGAGUAAGCAAGCAAGAUAAAGAAAGAAAGCGGACGGCAUUAUUUGAGCCCCUGGAGCCAGCUGUACCUGACAUUUCAGUUACACACUGAACUGGGCACCACAUGGCAGGGCGUGAGUUCCAGUGGGAGGCCCCAUGCCAGUGUUCCCCUUCUGUUCCCACUCCCAGCUCAUUCUCACACCACAAGGAACCUGAUGCACUCCAGCCUACCUCUAGAGCAGCACUACAGAACUUUCUGCAGAGAUGGAAAUGUUCUAUCUGGGGGUGAUGGCUCACACCUACAAUCCCAGCA
rnacentral:lncRNA from 1 species